rnacentral:lncRNA from 1 species
GCACGAGAAAUCCCGCCAAUAUCAGGUUCUUCCUUAGUAGCAUAGAAAGGAACCUGAUCCCUGAUUUGGAUACCCAAAAUAUCAGCAUAAUCCUCCAUCAUAGGCCCUAGCACGUAAUCUGGGAAGACAAAACACCUCAACUCGGGAUCAUAGAACUGAAGAAGAGUAUGAAUGGCGCUCCUGUCUCUGUCCAUGAGCCUGAAAAC